CAGAGUUCAUGCCCCCACGGGUAGAUCUCCCACCCUAUGUUAUCGUUACCUUCGUUGCUUUGGCGGGCCGCCUGGCCUCGGUCAGGCUACCGGCUUCGGCUGGUAAGCGCUCGCCAGAGGACCCCAAACUCUGAAUUUUUAAUGUCGUCUGAGUACUAUGUAAUAGUUA
rnacentral:misc_RNA from 1 species